AGCAGCCGCGGUAAUUCCAGCUCCAAUAGCGUAUAUUAAAGUUGUUGCAGUUAAAAAGCUCGUAGUUGAAUUUCGGGAUCAGUACGCUGGUCGUGCCUUUGGUAUGUACUGGUGUCACUGAUUCCUCCCUUCUGAAGAACCGUUAUGCCAUUUAUUUGGUGUGGCGGGAAAUCAGGACUGUUACUUUGAAAAAAUUAGAGUGUUUAAAGCAGGCUCGCGCUUGAAUACAUUAGCAUGGAAUAAUGAAAUAGGACGUUUGAUUCUAUUUUGUUGGUUUCUAGGAUCGACGUAAUGAUUAAUAGGGAUAGUUGGGGGCAUUAGUAUUCAAUUGUCAGAGGUGAAAUUCUUGGAUUUAUUGAAGACUAACUACUGCGAAAGCAUUUGCCAAGGAUGUUUUCAUUAAUCAAGAACGAAAGUUAGGGGAUCGAAGACGAUCAGAUACCGUCGUAG
rnacentral:rRNA from 1 species